UAAUAAAUGGAAUAUGUCCUGAGACAAUGGG
rnacentral:piRNA from 1 species